rnacentral:rRNA from 1 species
GAUGAACGCUAGCUACAGGCUUAACACAUGCAAGUCGCGGGGCAGCAUCGUGGUUGCUUGCGACCCCUGAUGGCGACCGGCGCACGGGUGAGUAACGCGUCUCCACCCUGCCCUUCACCACGCGAUAACCCGGCGAAAGUCGGACUAAUACCGUAUGUUGUCCAUUGACGGCAUCCGAUAUGGUCGAAACGCUUGGCGAUGGACGCAUGGGGAUGCGUCCGAUUAGCUUGACGGUGGUGUACCGGCUCACCGGGGCUACGAUCGGUAGGGGUUCUGAGCGGAAGGUGCCUCACACGGGAACUGAGACACUGUCCAGACACAUACGGGAGGCAGCAGUGAGGAAUAUUGGUCAAUGGGCGUAAGCCUGAACCAGCCAAGUAGCGUGCAGGAUGACGGCCCUAUGGGUGGUAGACUGCUGUUAUGCGGGGAUAAAGUGGUGUGCGGGUGGGCGUGUGCAGGUACCGCAUGAAUAAGGACCGGCUAAUUCCGUG